rnacentral:tRNA from 1 species
GGGCUAUUAGCUCUGUGGAAGAGCACUGCCUUCACAAGGUAGGAGUCGCUGGUUCAACCCCAGCAUCGCCCACCA